CCUUGGAGCCGGCCUGCCGCCUUCAUGUCCACUCUUCUCAUCAAUCAACCCCAGUAUGCGUGGCUGAAAGAGCUGGGGCUCUGCGAGGAAAACGAGGGCGUGUAUAAUGGAAGCUGGGGAGGCCAGGGAGAGGUUAUUACGACCUAUUGCCCUGCUAACAAUGAGCCAAUAGCAAGAGUCCGACAGGCCAGUGUGGCAGACUAUGAAGAAACUGUAAAGAAAGCAAAAGAAGCAUGGAAAAUCUGAGCAGAUAUUCGUGCUCCAAAAUGAGGAGAAAUUGUAAGACAGAUUGGCGAUGCCUUGUGGGAGAAGAUCCAAGUACUAGGAAGGUUGGUGUCUUUGGAGAUGGGGAAAAUCUUAGUGGAAGGUGUGGGUGAAGUUCAGGAGUAUGUGGAUAUCUGUGACUAUGCUGUUGGUUUAUCACGGAUGAUUGGAGGACCUAUCUUGCCUUCUGAAAGACCUGGCCAUGCGCUGAUUGAGCAGUGGAAUCCUGUAGGCCUGGUUGGAAUAAUCACGGCAUUCAAUUUCCCUGUGGCAGUGUAUGGCUGGAACAAUGCCAUCGCCAUGAUCUGUGGAAAUGUCUGCCUCUGGAAAGGAGCUCCAACCACUUCCCUCAUUAGUGUGGCUGUCACAAAGAUAAUAGCCAAGGUUCUGGAGGACAACAAGCUGCCUGGUGCGAUUUGUUCCUUGACUUGUGGUGGAGCAGAUAUUGGCACAGCAAUGGCCAAAGAUGAACAAGUGAACCUGCUGUCCUUCACUGGGAGCACUCAGGUGGGAAAACAGGUGACCCUGAUGGUGCAGGAGAGAUUUGGGAGAAGUUUGUUGGAACUUGGAGGAAACAAUGCCACUAUUGCCUUUGAAGAUGCAGACCUCAGCUUAGUUGUUCCAUUAGCUCUCUUCACUGUGGUGGGAACUGCUGGCCAGAGGUGUACCACUGCGAGGCGGCUGUUUGUACAUGAAAGUAUCCAUGACGAGAUUGUAAACAGAUUUAAAAAGGCCUAUGCACAGAUCCGAGUUGGGAACACAUGGGACUCUAAUGUUCUCUAUGGGCCACUCCACACCAAGCAGUCAGUGAGCAUGUUUCUUGGAGCAGUGGAAGAAGCAAAGAAAGAAGGUGGCACAGUGGUCUACGGGGGCAAGGUUAUGGAUCACCCUGGAAAUUAUGUAGAACUGACAAUUGUGACAGGUCUUGCCCAUGAUGCAUCCAUUGCACACACAGAGACUUUUGCUCCGAUUUUCUAUGUCUUUAAAUUCAAGAAUGAAGAAGAGGUCUUUGCAUGGAAUAAUGAAGUAAAACAGGGACUUUCAAGUAGCAUCUUUACCAAAGAUCUGGGCAGAAUCUUCCGCUGGCUUGGACCUAAAGGAUCAGACUGUGGCAUUGUAAAUGUCAACAUUCCAACAAGUGGGGCUGAGAUUGGAGGUGCCUUUGGGGGAGAAAAGCACACUGGUGGUGGCAGGGAGUCUGGCAGUGAUGCCUGGAAACAUUACAUGAGAAGGUCUACUUGUACUAUCAACUACAGUGAAGACCUUCCUCUGGCCCAAGGAAUCAAGUUUCAGUAAAGGUGUUUUAGAUGAACAUUCCUUAAUUUGAAGUUUUCCGGCAGCUAUUUUUGAAGAAGACAAAGAAUAUUAAAGUUUUCCCUGAAUAAAUGCAUCAUUAUGACUGUGACAGUGACUAAUCCCCCUAUGACCCCAAGGCCCUGAUUAAAUCAAGAGACUCCUUUUUUAAAAAUCAAAAUAAAAUUGUUACAACAUAGUCAUAUUUACUAAAA